GACGAACGCUGGCGGCGUGCUUAACACAUGCAAGUCGAGCGGAAAGGCCCUUUCGGGGGUACUCGAGCGGCGAACGGGUGAGUAACACGUGAGUAAUCUGCCCUUGGCUUUGGGAUAACCACCGGAAACGGUGGCUAAUACCGGAUAUGACGCGCCCCGGCAUCGGGGUGUGUGGAAAGUUUUUUCGGCCAGGGAUGUGCUCGCGGCCUAUCAGCUUGUUGGUGGGGUAAUGGCCUACCAAGGCUUCGACGGGUAGCCGGCCUGAGAGGGUGACCGGCCACACGGAGACUGGGACACGGCCCAGAAUCCUACGGGAGGCAGCAGUGGGGAAUAUUGGACAAUGGGCGGAAGCCCGAUCCAGCAACGCCGCGUGAGGGAUGACGGCCUUCGGGUUGUAAACCUCUUUCAGUACCGACGAAGCGCCGAUGAUGGUGGUGACGGUAGGUACAGAAGAAGCACCGGCCAACUACGUGCCAGCAGCCGCCGUAAAAC
rnacentral:rRNA from 1 species